GCCAUGUCACUUUAAAACUCUGGUUCUCGUCCUAUCCCCAAAGUUAAGCAACGUCGAGCUUGGUCAGUACCUGGAUGGGUGACCGCUUUAGGAAUCUAGGUGAUGUAA